rnacentral:lncRNA from 1 species
CUCUUUUCUCCUUAGUUAUUUUCUUUGUAUUAUUUUCAAUUUAUCUUAUUUUCAUCUUAAUCUUAAUCUAUACUCAUCAUUCAUUUCAAUUUUUGCAGAUGUGGAACUCAAAAGAAGAAUAUAAAUGAUACGCGAACUCUAAAGAAAUUGGACCAGAUACAUUUUCAUCAUAAUGUAUGAGUUUUAAGUGAUGUUUAAUCUACCUCACACGUAUUUUGAGUGUAAAUUAAUUUUAAAGAUGUAAUGUGUAUUUUUUAUUUUAUAGAAAAGGUGCAAUAUAUUGUUAAUACUAUUUC